GAGGAGGAAGGAUUGCUUGAGCCCAGGAGGUUGAGGCUGCAGUGAGCCAUGAUCACACCACUGCACUCCAGCCUGAGUGACAGAGUGAGACCCUGUCUC
rnacentral:miRNA from 1 species